GUAUAUGCAAAGAAGAGGAAAGUAGAUGAUUAUGAUCGUUUCAGAGAGCUACUCCUAGGCUGUGAGAGUAGUAGCAAUCGAAUCAUUGAAGAUCACCUCGGAGCAUCGCUUGCGAAAGGGAAACUGAGUAGAGGGCGGCGGCAUCGUCUCCGGUAAAAGGACGGGGGUCUGAUUGGACCUACAGAGCUUAUAUUUCGCGAGAAGUAUAAGGAAGCUGAGUGGUAACGCGAAACUCUCGCCUCAGCA
rfam:Bacillus cereus Rock4-18 chromosome, whole genome shotgun sequence.